UACGUAGGGACCGAGCGUUGUCCGGAAUCAUUGGGCGUAAAGAGCGUGUAGGCGGCCACUUAAGUCCUGCGUGAAAUCUUGCGGCUCAACCGCAAGCGGUCGUGGGAAACUGGGUGGCUAGAGUGCGGGAGAGGAGAGUGGAAUUCCUGGUGUAGCGGUGGAAUGCGCAGAUAUCAGGAGGAACACCAAUAGCGAAGGCAGCUCGGUGGGACGGUACUGACGCUAAGGCGCGAAAGCGUGGGGAGCGAACAGG
rnacentral:rRNA from 1 species